UACGUAGGUGGCAAGCGUUGUCCGGAAUUAUUGGGCGUAAAGCGCGCGCAGGCGGUUAUGUAAGUCUGAUGUUAAAGCCCGGGGCUGAACCUCGGGUCGCAUUGGAAACUGUGUAACUUGAGUGCAGAAGAGGAAAGUGGUAUUCCACGUGUAGCGGUGAAAUGCGUAGAUAUGUGGAGGAACACCAGUGGAGAAGGCGACUUUCUCGUCUGUAACUGACGCUGAGGUGCGAAAGCGUGGGUAGCAAACAGG
rnacentral:rRNA from 1 species